AGAGUUUGAUCCUGGCUCAGGAUGAACGCUAGCGAUAGGCCUAACACAUGCAAGUCGAGGGGCAUCAUGGGGUAGCAAUACUCUGAUGGCGACCGGCGGAUGGGUGAGUAACACGUAUGCAACCUACCUACGACAUUGGGAUAACCCGUUGAAAGACGGACUAAUACCUUAUAAUACAUUGGCACCGCAUGGUGGUAUUUGUUAAAGAUUUUAUCGGUUGUAGAUGGGCAUGCGCAUGAUUAGCUAGUUGGGGAGGUAACGGCUUCCCAAGGCUACGAUCAUUAGGGGUUCUGAGAGGAAGGUCCCCCACACUGGAACUGAGACACGGUCCAGACUCCUACGGGAGGCAGCAGUGAGGAAUAUUGGUCAAUGGGCGAUAGCCUGAACCAGCCACGUCGCGUGCAGGAAGACUGUCUUAUGGAUUGUAAACUGCUUUUUCGGUAGAGUAAAGUGCGUCACGUGUGACGUAUUGCAAGUAUACCGUGAAUAAGGAUCGGCUAACUCCGUGCCAGCAGCCGCGGUAAUACGGAGGAUCCGAGCGUUAUCCGGAUUUAUUGGGUUUAAAGGGUACGUAGGCGGGGCGUAUAAGUCAGCGGUGAAAUUUUGCAGCUUAACUGCAAGCUUGCCGUUGAAACUAUCGUUCUUGAGUGUAGAUGAGGUAGGCGGAAUGUGUUGUGUAGCGGUGAAAUGCAUAGAUAUAACACAGAACCCCGAUUGCGAAGGCAGCUUACCGGGUUAUCACUGACGCUGAGGUACGACAGCGUGGGGAUCAAACAGGAUUAGAUACCCUGGUAGUCCACGCCGUAAACGAUGAAUACUCGCUGUUUGCGAUAUACUGCAAGCGGCCAAGCGAAAGCAUUAAGUAUUCCACCUGGGGAGUACGUUCGCAAGAAUGAAACUCAAAGGAAUUGACGGGGGCCCGCACAAGCGGAGGAACAUGUGGUUUAAUUCGAUGAUACGCGAGGAACCUUACCCGGGUUUGAAAUGCAAUCGACCGAUUAUGAAAGUAGUUUUCCAGCAAUGGCGAUUGUGUAGGUGCUGCAUGGUUGUCGUCAGCUCGUGCCGUGAGGUGUCGGCUUAAGUGCCAUAACGAGCGCAACCCUUGCCGUUAGUUGCUAGCAGGUUAAGCUGAGGACUCUAGCGGGACUGCCAUCGUAAGGUGCGAGGAAGGUGGGGAUGACGUCAAAUCAGCACGGCCCUUAUGUCCGGGGCGACACACGUGUUACAAUGGGGGGUACAGCGGGCAGCUACCGGGCGACCGGAUGCUAAUCUCUUAAAUCCUCUCUCAGUUCGGAUCGGAGUCUGCAACUCGACUCUGUGAAGCAGGAUUCGCUAGUAAUCGCGCAUCAGCCACGGCGCGGUGAAUACGUUCCCGGGCCUUGUACACACCGCCCGUCAAGCCAUGGAAGCCGGGGGUACCUGAAGUACGUUACCGUUUAGGAUCGUCCUAGGGUAAGACUGGUAACUGGGGCUAAGUCGUAACAAGGUAGCCGUACCGGAAGGUGCGGCUG
rnacentral:rRNA from 1 species